GCGGAAGGUUGCCCGGGCUGGCGCCGCUGGGCAGAGCCGGUGCGACGUUUCCCUUUCCAGCUUUGUUCUUCCGGCCCUGCUGUCUGCCUCCCCGGCUGAUUGGAUUCGUUACUGCUUUGCAACGCGCACCUAACUCCAGACGGGGUCUCACUCUGUCGCCCAGGCUGGAGUGCAGUGGCACAAUCUCAGCUUGCUGUGACCUCAGCUCUCUGCGACCUCUGCUUGCUGGACUCAAGCGAUCCUCCCACCACCUCAGCCUCCUGAGUAGCUGGAACCAUCAUAUGCACCAGCACGCCUGGCUAAGUAUUUUGUGUUUUCUUUUUUUUUAAUUUCUAGAGACAGGAUCUUGUUAUGUUGCCCAGGCUGGUCUCAAACUCUAGGACUCAAGUGAUCUGCCCCCCUUGGCCUCCCAAAGUGCUGGGAUUACAGGCAUGAGCCACCGUGCCUGGCCUUUUUUUUUCCCCAGCCUCAGCAACAUAGUGAGACCCGUUGUGGUGCAUGCCUGUAGUACCACCUACUUGGGAGGAGUAUUGCUUGAGUGUGGAAGGUUGAGGCUGCUAUGAGCAGUGAUCGCGCCACCACACUCCAACCUAGGCAACACAGAGAGCCCCUGUCUCAAAAAAAAAUUGUUUUAGGGACAGUGUCUCACUCUUGCCCAGACUGGUCUCAAACUCCUGGGGUCCAGUGAUCCUCCUGCCUCAGCCUCCCUUGUAGGUGGGACUACACGGCACCUGGCCCUUGUGUUGUUCUUGUAACAGUUGCUCAAUGCAGAAAACUUGGAAACCACAGAACAGCACCAGGGGGUGGGGAAUGAACAUGGAAUGAUGGGGACCUCUGUCCCAUUUAAGUCAAACAACAUCCAUACUUUGGUUCCAUGGACUAAUCAUUUAUUUGCACUCAUAAAAACUGGCUUGCUUUGAAAAGCUUCCUCCAAAAGCUGUAUUGUGGUACUUUUGACUCUGGGACAAGAGGAAGAAGUUGGGGAAUUCGGGCAGUUGGUGGCUGGGCCCUCAGAGACUGUAUGUGGUGACCACUGUUUAAGACACCAUUCAUCACUUGGGGACGGAGGGAGCACAUAGAUGGACCCCAGGCUCAUGGAUGUUCCUCCUUCCGCAGUCAUUUACUAAAAUACCUGUUCAAGGAAUAUAGUUCCAGUCUCAGCCUAGUUGAGACAACCACAGGCACUUAAAUAAGUACCAAGGAAGCCUCUGCAGAGAUAGUGCUAUUGGAACUGAGUCCUGAGGGCCAGAUCAGCCUUGACCAGGCCAAAAAAUGUGGAAGAGUAUUCCAAGCGGUAGGAAUAACACAUGCAAACACCUGAAAGCAAAGAGGAGCAGGUCACAUCCAGCAACUGGUGACUUGUUUACUAAGGCUGGAGAUGAACCUUGGAAGGAAGAAGGGAAGUCAAGAGGCCAGAUAAUUUGGCAGAGGCUAGAGGCUCUGUUCUACUGAGUUGUUUUCUCGUUUGUUUUGUUUUGUUUUUUGAGACAGAGUUUUGCUCUUGUCACCCAGGCUGGAAUGCAAUAGCGUGGUCUUGGCUCACUGCAACCUCCGCCUCCCGGGUUCAAGCAAUUCUCCUGCCUCAGCCUCCUAAGUAGCUGGGACUACAGGGGCCCUCCUGCUGCUCCCUCCAUGAGGCUGGUCCUGAAGGAAUAGGCCUGUGGCUCGUCCCUCCUCCCCAUCUCGGCCCUGAGGCAAACAUACCUUCCACAGCUCUGGGAGCACCGCCUCCACCCAGGUCUCACAGGAUGGGACACAAGGAUAGGCAUUAAGCAGGACUUCCAGGGCCCGAGGGAAGUUGGCGCAGUGUUUCAGCAUCUAGGGGUCAAAAGAGGGUCUUGGGCACAUGCCUCCCCCACCCGAGGGCAGACCCAAGUCUUGCCUCACCCACAUGGCCAAUCCUAGCCUAAUCUGGGGGGCUAAGGUCUGAGUCUCUCUUCCCUUUUUUGUGCCUCUGUCUACCCCACCCUCAAGUAUGCUCCAACCUUUUGGCCCCAGUUUUCCUCUGGGGCUCUUCCCUCCCUUGGACUCUCUCUCCCAGAAUCCUCUCUCCCCCUCCCAAGCUGGGGACAGCCCCCUGGCCACUGAGGGCAGGCUUUCAGUCUCUUGGACCCUCUGUCUUCCCCAGAAGCGGAGCAGUUCCAGCCGCGGGCUCCCCCACACAGGAGCCUCCUAUGUCAGGGCCUCCCAGCGCACCUCAGGGCGCACUGGCUGCGCCCCGUAGUCCAGCAGUGCGGCGAAAAGGACUUCAGGCUCCCAGUUGGGGGAGUCCUGGACGGCCUGCAGCGCACAGUCCAUGGGCGUGUGGCCCGCCCCAUUGGGGACCUCAGCGCGGGCCCCGUAACGCAGCAGCAGCUCGGCCAGGCCCCCGCAGCCGUUGGCACAAGCGUUGUGCAGCGGCGUGUGGCGCUUGCGCCCGGCCGCCCGGGCAUCAGCUCCAGCCUCCAGGAGCCGGCGCGCCGCAGCCUGGUGUCGCCUGCAGCUACCUGGGCCCUCGGCCCCAGCGCACGCCGUGUUCAGCGCAGUCUCGCCCUGGCUGGUGCGCAGGCCCACGUCGGCGCCAUGCUCCAGGUACAGAGCCACAUGUUGCUCCAGGCCGCGCGCCGCCGCCACGUGCAGGGGCGUCUCCUGGCUCUCGCCUGCUGCCAGGUUCACCGUCGCUCCUGCUUCCAGCAGCAACUUGGCGCACCUGGGGACAAGAGAGCAAGGUCCUGAGGAAAAUCCUGAAGGCUUGGGACCCCUUCAGCUUGCUGUGACACUCCCUUGCCUUUCCACCCCUCUCAGCUUGAGGUCCUACCUGGUGUCCUCCAUGAGAAUCAUACAAGCCCCGCUACAGACAACAGAAUUGGAAGGUCCUGAGAGCUACCAGAAGCAUCUUCAGUUUUCAUAUGAAAAACUUAAGCCCAGGAGUGAUUUGUGCAGCCAAGGACACACAGCAAGUUAGUGGCUGCACCAGAAAUAGUACUCACUGCCUCAGACAGUCCCUCCCACAGUCUACUCUGUCUCCACCCCAAGGUCUGGUUCUGAAUCAUUCAGUUGUCAGUUGUCUCCUUUUUUUUUUUUUUUUUUGGAGACAGGGUCUCUCUCUGUGGCCCAGGCUGAAGUGCAGUGGUGUGAUUACAGCUCAUGUAGCCUGGACCUCCCAAGCUCAAGCAAUCCUCCUGCCUCUGCCUCCCAAGUAGCUGGGACCACAGGUGGGCAGCACC
ensembl:lncRNA ASB16-AS1 ASB16 antisense RNA 1